rnacentral:rRNA from 1 species
UGCGUAGGUGGUUUGUUAAGUCUGAUGUGAAAGCCCUGGGCUCAACCUGGGAAUGGCAUUGGAAACUGGCUGACUGGAGUGCGGUAGAGGGUAGUGGAAUUCCCGGUGUAGCAGUGAAAUGCGUAGAUAUCGGGAGGAACAUCCGUGGCGAAGGCGACUACCUGGACCAGCACUGACACUGAGGCACGAAAGCGUGGGGAGCAAACA